AUGAACGCUAGCGACAGGCCUAACACAUGCAAGUCGAGGGGCAGCACAAGGAGCAAUCUGAGGUGGCGACCGGCGCACGGGUGAGUAACACGUAUGCAACCUGCCUGUAAGCGGGGAAUAACCCGUUGAAGGACGGACUAAUACCGCAUAAUACUAAAUUACUGCAUGGUAAUUUAUUUAAACAUUUAUGGCUUACAGAUGGGCAUGCGCAUGAUUAGCUAGUUGGAGAGGUAACGGCUCCCCAAGGCAACGAUCAUUAGGGGUUCUGAGAGGAAGGUCCCCCACACUGGUACUGAGACACGGACCAGACUCCUACGGGAGGCAGCAGUGAGGAAUAUUGGUCAAUGGACGAGAGUCUGAACCAGCCAAGUCGCGUGCAGGAAGAAUGUCCUUAAUGGAUUGUAAACUGCUUUUGCAGGGGAAUAAAGUGCAUCACGUGUGAUGUUUUGUAUGUACUCUGCGAAUAAGGAUCGGCUAACUCCGUGCCAGCAGCCGC
rnacentral:rRNA from 1 species